rnacentral:rRNA from 1 species
GAGGAACGCUGGCGGCGUGCUUAACACAUGCAAGUCGAACGGUAAGGCCUUCGGGUACACGAGUGGCGAACGGGCGAGUAACACGUGGGUGAUCUGCCGCGCACUUUGGGAUAAGCCUGGGAAACUGGGUGUAAUACCGCAUAGGAUCAUGGCCUUCAUGGGUUGUGGUGGAAAGCUUUUGCGGUGUGGGAUGGGCCCGCGGCCUAUCAGCUGGUUGGUGGGGUAAUGGCCUACCAAGGCGACGACGGGUAGCCGGCCUGAGAGGGUGUCCGGCCACACUGGGACUGAGAUACGGCCCAGACUCCUACGGGAGGCCGCGGUGGGGAAUAUUGCCCCCUUUGCGCAAGCCUGAUGCAGCGACGCCGCGUGAGGGAUGACGGCCUUCGGGUUGUAACCCUCUUUCAGCAGGGACGAAGCGCAAGUGACGGUACCUGUAGAAGAAGGACCGGCCAACUACGUGCCAGCAGCCGCAGUAC